rnacentral:rRNA from 1 species
CCUACGGGUGGCAGCAGUCGAGAAUUAUUCACAAUGGGGGAAACCCUGAUGCUGCGACGCCGCGUGGGGGAAUGAAGGUCUUCGGAUUGUAAACCCCUGUCAUGUGGGAGCAAAUUAAAACGAUAGUUCCACAAGAGGAAGAGACGGAUAACUCUGUGCCAGCAGCCGCGGUACUACAGAGGUCUCAAGCGUUGUUCGGAAUCACUGGGCGUAAAGCGUGCGUAGGCUGUUUCGUAAGUCGUGUGUGAAAGGCGCGGGCUCAACCCGCGGACGGCACAUGAUACUGCGAGACUAGAGUAAUGGAGGGGGAACCGGAAUUCUCGGUGUAGCAGUGAAAUGCGUAGAUAUCGAGAGGAACACUCGUGGCGAAGGCGGGUUCCUGGACAUUAACUGACGCUGAGGCACGAAGGCCAGGGGAGCGAAAGGGAUUAGAUACCCCUGUAGUC